AGAGAGAGAGAGAGAGAGAGAGAGAGAGAGUUCAGCUUUGGAUCUUUAGUUGAUUUCCGCCAUGAAUCAUGAAUAGUAAACUCCCCCCCCCCUUGUAUGUUUGAUUUCAGUUUCUCCUAGAUUCAUUUUUUUAUGAUAGGCUACAACCGCUGCACCGUAGCUAUUUUGGAUCCUCCUUUGAUUUCUGACAUGGAUCCAGAAUAGAAGAAGAAAGCUCAGAGAAAGAGGAACAAAAAAAAGAAGAAGAAGAGAACUAAGCUGCCUGCCGCUGCCGCGGUCCAAGAAGAAAAAGCUCUGAAAAAAUAGAGGAAAAAGAGGGUUAGAGAAAGAACUGAGAUGAUGUUGCCGCUGUUGCCGCUGCCAUAGUAGCUGCCGCCGUCCAGGAAGAAGAAAGCUCGGGGGGAGAGAGAGAGAGAGAGUAACAGCAAAAACCAAAAGAAAAAAAGAGAGUGCAGUUGUUGCCGCCGUCGCUGAAGCUGCUGCCGCUGGCCGCCGUCGC